CAAUGACAUAUACGGAAUGACAUAUUAUAACAAUUAAGAAAAAUUAGACAGUUCUCUUCAAGGAAAAUCAGUAUUUGUUAAAUCCUUUCAACGUGAAACACCCAACGCAGUGGACAGGUAAAGAACAAGUUCCAUCUAAAAUUGCAUAAAACUUCUGUCAAAGUGCAUAUACCUCCCCAGCUCGUUCAGGUGUGAAUAUGAGAUCUUGAGGGAAUCCACUAUCCAGGGCAUAUUGUGCAACUGGGGACGGCAUCAGCUUUCUGCCCCUAUCUCUUCCAGAAGGCGGCUGGGUAACAAUUGCUGCAAGCUAAACCAAAUUACUCAAUUCUUGAACCUAUCAGCUAGCAAGCCAAGCGGCCAGACGAGUUCAAAAUACUGGAGGAACAGAACAUGGCGAUCUCAAAUCAAAUUCUCGUAUUCAAAAGAAACUGGCUAGCAGAUAAAUAAUUGUUGGGUAAUGUUAAAUAAAAAAUUCUCUUUGAGCACUCUAAUUAUUCUAUCCAUUCAAUCAAUCUUGUAAAACUCUACCGCUAUCGAAUUGUAAAAGAGACUGGGAAGCUGAGAACUGAAUUCCACAACAGAGAAUUUCUGUUUCCUCGACCGAGAUAUAAGAUUAAAGAAAGCAAACCUGAGUGUUUUUUAAACACACACACUCCCACCCACAACAAUAUCAGCUACAACAAAAUCAAUUAUUUUACAAAUAAAAUCAGAAAAUUGUGAUUUUGUUGGAAACAAGUCAAACAACAAAU
rnacentral:lncRNA from 1 species